UUGAAAGGGAAACGAUUGAAGUCAGUCGUACCGACGAGAAAUCAACUUUUUGAGUGCUGACUUGUGGGCGUGUGUGAGCUGUCAAAGGCCUCGCUGUUUGCAUGUUUGUGCUUUUUGGGUGUACUUUUUCGUAUGGUAGGCCAACGUCAGUUUCGAUCACCAUAAAAUGAUCGGAGGAAUGUAGCUUUGAUCUCGUAUUGAAGUGUUAUAGCCUUUGGUAGAUGUGGUGAUCGAUACUGAGGAUUGCAACGAAUACCUUUGGGCUAUCCGUCUGACCUCUGGAAGUUGCUUAGGUGCCGAAAGCUUGCUUAUGGUAUUUAAGACGACGGUCAAAAGGUUAGAACGUGAUUACAUUCGUUAAGGAUGUUGACGUA
rnacentral:rRNA from 1 species